GGGUUGUACAAAUAGUUAGCACACUUGGCUGCUAACCAAAAGGUUGAUGGUUCAAGUCCACCCAGAUCCA
rnacentral:tRNA from 1 species